GUGGUUUUUUGUGUAUGUGUUGGGUUUAUGAGCUGUAACAAUUAUCUGGAAGGUGUGCAGAUUUGUUCUCGGGGUUUGUGAGGCUGGGAACCCAACGAUGGAAGUAAAUAAUUCCAGUAGGCGUAGCUUUAAGAGGUGUAACACUGAUUGUGAAGGCCUACAGCUUUGUUCCUUCAAGCUGCGAAACCACUAAACUCAACAGAAAGAAGCUGUGGGAUGCGCCUGGACACCAGAAAAAACAAACUCCCCCUGUGCCUCUUUUAAAAACUGUAAUGCUCACCUGUAGGGUCUGGCUGAAUGCUUGGGGUCAGAGCAACAAGACACCAAUUCUGGACACAGUGGGACCUUAGAAAACACUUUAACUCAGGGUGAACAUGAGAUGCUGGAGGGUGACUCCGACCUUGUAAGUGAAUGAUCUCUGAGCUGGUGCUUCAGCCAUUCUCUCACUGGGUGUCAGCUGUUGGGUGUUGCAGAGCAUGUGAUGUGGCUGUGGAUCCCAUGGACCUAGCGCACUCCCAUGUGGGAGCGCUGGGAUAAUGGCGCUUUCUGAUUCUCUGGACAGGAACAAACACACUUGGAAUAUGCUUCUAUUCCUAAGAAGUUGGCUGCAUAGGAGCACAACAUCACCAGCUUACCACGUAUUGGUCAUUCUCUUUGAGGAGCAGGGCCAUACUGACGGCUUACAUGUGCGCUCUGGUGGAAGUAGGAUGUUUGGUGGCAGCAGGAGCAAAAUCAACUCUGUGACAGCAAAGCUGGAGAGAGAGAGGAGCAUUGAGGUUUUGAGACAUGUAUAACCAGUGAAACCAUCAUUACAAUCCAGA
rnacentral:lncRNA from 1 species